rnacentral:lncRNA from 1 species
CCGAAUUCGGCACUUGCGCAGUAAGCUGCGAGCAAACGGAAGUCCAGAAGCUGCUACCCUCUCCCUCUGGAGCGACCGGGGCGCGUUUGUUCGCUCGUUCUCUCUCGGUUUCUGUUGCCUUCUCACUCCCUCUCUUCCCCCUUCCUUCCCUCCCUCUGUCCUCUCUUCUCCUGUCCCUCCCACGGUCGGCCAGGCCCUUCAAGCAGUCGGCGGCGGUGUGCCCUCAUCUUCUCGUUGUUGGGGUGCAGUCCAUCCUUUAGGAUCCCUGUUGAGUGUCUGUCUGAAAAGCUGGGUCCCAUUUUAUCUGUCAGAUAAGAGCAUCCCGAAGUUAGUCUUAUAUGUGGACAACUUGUUAAGAGAUACAGUGAAGAGGGUGAGGAAGCCAGCCAGUCUGUUUGGAAGAUACCUUGGACAGAACAA